rnacentral:tRNA from 1 species
AAAGGGAGACCUAAUUCAGGUAGGAGACGAAAAAAAAGUAGUCCCUACCAAGAAUCAAUCCCAAAAGGUCGGAGCGAGGCAAAAUUGGCUUUCAAACUAGGUUCUGGGUUCACACAAGACCUGAAUCAGGAACAAGGGCUAUUAGCUCAGGUGGUUAGAGCGCACCCCUGAUAAGGGUGAGGUCCCUGGUUCGAGUCCAGGAUGGCCCACCUGUACAGGUGGCAAAAAGAAAGAAAAGAAGCGAGGAAUCAGCACCUUAUCUUACUUAUAUAGUAAGAGAGAAUGCUGGCUCUGAGUAAAGAGUCCAGAGGAACCUUGAAAACUGCAUAGAGCUAGGUGAAAAAGCCAAAAAAGAAGGCCGCAAG